CAGCCAGCACACCCUGUCUCUCUUUGUCUCACACCUGGACACCUGCUCCAGGUGUAUUCUGCGAGGGACAGGAUCAAAACUCCACUUAAAAUCCUGAAAUAGAACCUGCAUUGCCUUCCCAUCAUCCAUGAGACGGGUGACCUUAUGUUAGGGAACCAGUGAGUGGGAGCCAGGGUGCGCUUGAGUUUCGGGAAUGCCACAACUCCUCGUCUCCUCAUUUCCCAGGCAGACCCUGCCACGAGGGCGUGGCCGAAGCGGCCCGAGGAUCCGGGCAUUCUUAGGAGAAUGCUGGGCAAGGGCCACAGGUCGGUGCCUGCAGGAAAUUGCCAGCAGGGGAGGCAGCCUUCCUUCGUACCUGAUGUGGAUUCCCUUCCCCGGACAUCCUAGAGAUUUUUUUAGGAUUGGUGACUGAUAAACACAAUGUGUUUUGAUGGA